UUCUCCAACAACAUACAUUAGUUCCUCUAAUAUUAGUGAAAGUAAUUCAUCAUUUCAAAAUUAGGUAAAAUUUCCUAUGAAUGAAAUGUAUUGACCAUGUAUUC